GAUGAACGCUGGCGGCGUGUCUAAUCCAUGCAAGUCGAUCGAAUAGAUAAUGAUUUUGCACCUCUGACGCUUGCUGCUGAUGGAUCUGUAACACGUGGAUAACCUACCUGUAUGACUUGUAUCACUUCGGAAAAACGGUGCAGAUAAAACCUAAUAUCUUGAAUCUCUGGUAUCCAUCGUGCACUACGGUUAUACUGACCCUUAUAGAGAUACCUUCGCCGCAGUAGUUAGUUGGUAAUGUAACGGCCUACCAAGGCAACGAUGCGUAGCCGACCUGAGAGGGUGAUCGGCGACACUGGAACUGAGACACGGUCAAGAGUCAUACGGGAGGAGGCAGUAGGGAAUCUUCCGCAAUGGGCGAAAGCCUGACGGAGCAAUGCCGCGUGAGGGAUGAAGGUCUUCGGGUGGUAGAAGUCUGUUAUUAGGGAGGGACAAAUGUGGGAGUAACUAUGCACGUCUUGACGGUACUUAAUCAGAAAGCCACGGCUAACUACGUG
rnacentral:rRNA from 1 species